CUGAGCUGUGAGACCCCAGGUCUUACAACACACGGUCCCUCAGGCUGCCACCUGGGCAGGCCUCCGUGAACCGGUUGAGAAAAUGUCCAUUUCUGUCCCCUUCCAUGCCAAGCAGUGGGGUGCAGGGACUCUGGCUGCCCUGCUGAGGUCCCAUGGUGCACGGGAAAUGAGAGCAGAGUGAGGAAAUGUUGAGUGAUUGGGACACCGCGCCUGUAGCGAUCAGCAGGCUGCUGGGCGAGGGGGCCUGGGUGUGGGCCUCGAGUCGGCCUGGGACAGGGGCGAGACAGCUGGGCCCUCGGGGGACUCAUUUUCCAAGAAGAUAAAGCAUGAGGGAGCUGAAGGGCUCGCCACACACCAAAGGCUCUGGACGGCCUGUCGAAAGCUCCCAGCCCAGGCCUCCCUUCAGCAGCCCGCUGACUUCCUCUGUGGAGGGGUCAGAGAGUCAGGCUACAGACACAACCGCGCCGCAGGCCAGGACGGGAGAGCUGGCUGCAGCCCAGGCAGGGCCGGCUGGGCCUCUUCUCCGCUUUCACAGGCGUCACCGGGCGGCGGCCUGGGUUUUGCAAUGCUACCAGGAGCAUGGGCUGGGGUGACCGCUGGGCUGCUUCAGGGCCACGGCCUGCCGGCGGCUGCGCCCGUCGCCGCGUCGCCGCGGGAGGGCCGGGUGCGGCCUGAGAAGCCCCGAAGGGGGAGGUGGCUCCGCACAGUGACUGGACCGGCACCGGCGCCGUGGAUGUGCUGUGAGACACGUCCAUCGACCACCUGUGGUGUGUAACACCGUGUGAGCUUUCUCUGGCUGGCGGGUUCCGUCUUGAAACAAACUCUCUAAGUAACUCCAGCUCACGGAAGAACAGUGGUAAAGCGACGGCACUGGUGUCAUCCCCCAACCAGUGUGAAGCUCUGCCUGCCGCAUCACCUACCAGGCCUAUGCCCCUAAGAAGACCGCCUCUGCCUGUACCUGGCAGCCAGCUACCCACAGCACCUCAGCUGUGGGCUGGGCACUGGAGGUGCCUUCAACUCCAGGACAGACUGCUGGCUUGUUUAACCCUUCACAGUUCUGUGUGGGCACAGCAGCUGCCAUGAGCUCAUCGCGGCGGCGUUCCUGUCAUGUCCACAGAUUCGGUUUCCACAGAAGCGGUUUCCACCCGGUCUCUCCACCCCUUCUCCCCAACGAUCCCCGAGCCCCGGGGACAGCACUCGCUCGGCUUAUCCCACAGACACCUGUCUCUACACUGUCACCAGCCGCGGCUUCUGCGCUGCUCAGCACCCACUGCAGAAAGAACUUCUCUGCCAGAAACAGGCUUUUGUAUUUAAACCUGAAGUUCACGAAUCCGUAGUGGUGAACGUCAGAGGCUGUUUGAGCGGCAGUUCUGCUGACAUGAUUGUGAAGAUUUCCAAGGACGGCCAGGGUCCCUGCACGCACUCGCUGUUGACGCCCCCUGUUAACCCAGAGUGGCUCCAGGCCGUUUCUGUGGAGGAGGCCUUCCCUCCGCUGUGCUCCGUCCGGACAGCCACCCUCAGUGUACCCACUGUGGACACCUCAAAGGACACAGAGCUCCUUUGGGCUUUGUUCUCUGGCCCUCAGAAGCUCUGGCUGCUGUUGCGUGUCUGUGAAUGUGGUGUGUGUAGGUGUAUGUUCCGGUGUGCGGGCACGUGUGUUUGGAGCCUGAGGCUGGUAUGAAGUGUCUUCCUCGGUAAUUCUCCACCUCGUUCACUCAGGCAGUCUCCCACUCAGGCCCACCCUUGCUGCCACACCCUCCCAGCAUUUUCAUGGCUGCUAGGUGAAGGUCUUUGAGGGGGUUCAAGGAGCCACUGAAAUGGAACAUUGUGGAGAAAGAAGAGUCACUAAUGCCAUAAACACAAAGACAGACAGACAACAGUGCGCUGGGGGCUCUGAGCACAGUUCUGGCGCCAGACACAGCCCGGCAGUGGCUCUGGGGAGAGGAACUGGGACCCACAUGGCAGAAGGGAGGCUCUCUCCCUGCCUCUUCUGAGGAUGGAACAGGUGUGGCCGCACAGGCCUGUGCCAGCUCUGGGAUGUCCAGGAAGGCAGGGAUGGGGUGGGAGGCAGGACGAGUGGCCACCAGUGACCACUGAGGUAAACUCGGGUCCUGGCAGCUGUUCACAGAGUGUGUUAUCUGAGAGGAAGGGUUGUUAGUGCCGUGGCCUGGGCAGCAGCUGGGCUCUGAUGGGAUGCCCUGCACUCGGGAUCUCUGCCUUCAGUGCUCACUGGGCAGCAGCUGCUUUGCUCACUGAGCCACCUGCUGGCCUGCAGAGGCUCAUGCUGAUACCAGUGGGCCAAGAGGCCGGAGAACACCACUGACACCCAUUCUAAGUUCUUGCAUUCUAGAGAAGGAACUAAGCAGAGACGUGGAUGCUCCCAGAAGCAGAGACAGUGUGCACAGUGAGAAAGGGCCAGGUGCAAGGGAGGCACUGGACAGAGCAGGAGGAUGGCAUGAGGCUCUGGGGCACAGCUGUGUGAAUGGGGCAGGCCUGGGGGAUGGCUCGGCAGCCGGAAACACUUGUCCCUGCAGAGGACCCCGGUUUGGUUCCUCCACUGGAGGCCUGCAACCAUCCAGGCCUGGGGAGUCCGGAAUCUGACCUACACACACACAGUGCACACACACAUAGCAGGCAAAACACCCGUAUAAAUAAAAAUAAAAGUAAA